CUCCUACGGGAGGCAGCAGUAGGGAAUCUUCCGCAAUGGACGAAAGUCUGACGGAGCAACGCCGCGUGAGUGAUGAAGGCCUUCGGGUCGUAAAACUCUGUUGUUAGGGAAGAACAAGUAUCGGAGUAACCGCCGGUACCUUGACGGUACCUAACCAGAAAGCCACGGCUAACUACGUGCCAGCAGCCGCGGUAAUACGUAGGUGGCAAGCGUUGUCCGGAAUUAUUGGGCGUAAAGCGCGCGCAGGCGGUCCUUUAAGUCUGAUGUGAAAGCCCNCGGCUCAACCGUGGAGGGUCAUUGGAAACUGGGGGACUUGAGUGCAGAAGAGGAAAGCGGAAUUCCACGUGUAGCGGUGAAAUGCGUAGAGAUGUGGAGGAACACCAGUGGCGAAGGCGGCUUUCUGGUCUGUAACUGACGCUGAGGCGCGAAAGCGUGGGGAGCAAACAGGAUUAGAUACCCUGGUAGUCCACGCCGUAAACGAUGAGUGCUAAGUGUUAGAGGGUUUCCGCCCUUUAGUGCUGCAGCUAACGCAUUAAGCCUCCGCCUGG
rnacentral:rRNA from 1 species